rnacentral:rRNA from 1 species
UACGAAGGGGGCUAGCGUUGCUCGGAAUCACUGGGCGUAAAGGGUGCGUAGGCGGGUCUUUAAGUCAGGGGUGAAAUCCUGGAGCUCAACUCCAGAACUGCCUUUGAUACUGAGGAUCUUGAGUUCGGGAGAGGUGAGUGGAACUGCGAGUGUAGAGGUGAAAUUCGUAGAUAUUAGGAGGAACACCGGUGGCGAAGGCGGCUAUCUGGACGACAACUGACGCUGAGGCGCGAAAGCGUGGGGAUCAAACAGG